AUCCCGACAGGCUCCACCAUUUGAGUGAAACGACUUUGGGUCUGUAGCUCAGGUGGUUAGAGCGCACCCCUGAUAAGGGUGAGGUCGGUGGUUCGAGUCCUCCCAGACCCACCACUCUGAAUGUAGUGCACACUUAAGAAUUUAUAUGGCUCAGCGUUGAGGCUGAGACAUGUUCUUUUAUAACUUGUGACGUAGCGAGCGUUUGAGAUAUCUAUCUAAACGUGUCGUUGAGGCUAAGGCGGGGACUUCGAGUCCCUAGAAAUUGAGUCGUAUGUUCGCGUUGGUGGCUUUGUACCCCACACAACACGGCGUAUGGCCCCGAGGCAACUUGGGGUUAUAUGGUCAAGCGAAUAAGCGCACACGGUGGAUGCCUAGGCGGUCAGAGGCGAUGAAGGACGUGGUAGCCUGCGAAAAGUGUCGGGGAGCUGGCAACAAGCUUUGAUCCGGCAAUGUCCGAAUGGGGAAACCCACUGCUUCGGCAGUAUCCUGCAGUGAAUUCAUAGCUGCUAGAAGCGAACCCGGUGAACUGAAAUAUCUAAGUAACCGGAGGAAAAGAAAUCAACCGAGAUUCCCUAAGUAGUGACGAGCGAACGGGGAGCAGCCCUUAAGCUGGAAUGGCUUUAGAAAAACAAUCUGGAA
rnacentral:misc_RNA from 1 species